rnacentral:lncRNA from 1 species
ACACCGCGGCCGCGUCCCUGGAGCAGACAGCGGCUCCUGUUACCUCUGCUGGGAGGACCCCAUCCCGGGAGCACUACCCGCUCGGCCCGGCUCCGUCUCCGGGAGGCCGAGCGAGUUAAAGUGAGAGUCUUUAAGCUCGGAGUCCCGUGAGGGUCAGGGGAUCGUGACAUCCCCCGGGAUCUCCCCUCAAAGAACUGGACAGCAUUCGGGGGAUCCGGGCUCCCCUGGUUCUCCGCGUCACGCCGCCUCGGACCCGGUCCUUUCACACCGCGGAGCGCCCUCCGCCGGAAGGGGCUUGCCUCGCAAGCUGGACGGCCUCCGGCCCGGCUCACCUUCGGGUCGUUCUAGGGAAGGUACUUGCACUGCCGCGCUAUCUCCACAUACUUGUCCAGAUUCAGCGGCGCCAUUUUAGGGAGAACAAACCGCAUCGCUGCCAGCGGCGGAGGCCGAAGCCGGAACCGUCCUUACGUCACGUCCGACCCGUGAGUGGAGUCUGCGCAGUGACGUCAAAGCCUGACUCUCUUCAGAACCCCGACACGCCCCGCGUCGGGUCUCCACGAGAACCCGGCUGUCCUGCUGAUGAAACCUAGGACCUGUGGCUGUCUGCCGCGGGGAGUGCUGGGAUUUGUAGUUUUAGUGAAAAGCUCUUCUACUCUUGCAACAGACUUCACCUUCGAAAAACUAGAUGAGGCUUUUUCUAGGGAAGACCACAAAAUGAGUAACUGAGAAUUCCCUGGCUCUCCCACCCUGUAAAGCACCCUGUCGGUAUCUUCAGUUAAAGUUGGAGUAAGUGGCCGGUCGGUGGUGGCUCACGCCUUUAAUACCAGCACUUGGGAGGCAGAGGCAGACAGAUUUCUGAGUUCAAGGCCAGCCUGGUCUACAGAGUGAUUUCCAGGACAGCCAGGGUUACACAGAGAAAUCCUGUUUCGAAAAAAACCAAAGAGGGGCUGGAGAGAUGGCUCAGCGGUUAAGAGCACUGACUGCUGCUCUUCUAGAGGUCCUGAGUUCAAUCCCCAGCAACCACAUGGUGGUUCACAACCAUCUGUAAUGGGGUCUGAUGCCCUCUUCUGGUGUGUCCGAGUAUAGCAACAGUGUAUUCAUAUACGUAAAAUAAAUAAAUCUUAAAGAAAAAAAAAAGAAGAACAAAAC